rnacentral:ncRNA from 1 species
UACCUGGUUGAUCCUGCCAGUAGUCAUAUGCUUGUCUCAAAGAUUAAGCCAUGCAAGUCUAAGUACGAGCUCUCGUACAGUGAAACUGCGAAUGGCUCAUUAAAUCAGUUAUGGUUCAUUUGAUCGUACAGUUUACUUGGAUAACUGUGGUAAUUCUAGAGCUAAUACAUGCGAGAAGCGCCGACCUCGCGGGAGGCGUGCAUUUAUCAGACCAAAAACCGGCCGCGUCUUCGGGCGCGUUCGCCUUGGUGACUCUGGAUAACUUUGCGGAUCGCACGGUCUAGCACCGGCGACGGAUCAUUCAAGUGUCUGCCCUAUCAACUUUCGUCGGUACGGUAUUUGCCUACCGAGGUUCUUACGGGUGACGGGGAAUCAGGGUUCGAUUCCGGAGAGGGAGCCUGAGAAACGGCUACCACAUCCAA